UCUAAACCUUUCUUGCGAUGCUAGUGAGCGUUUUCAACGGAUACAACUACAAUAUCUCAAUUUGUUGUCAUUACAGAUGAAUGGGUGAUGUUAUUCGUACGAUCAUUCAAGGAAAUCGAGGGUUUUUAGUUGUUUUCGAUCCCGUUUCAAUCCUUCUGCGCAUUUAGAAGUCAUUUCAGCGUCAAAUUUAAGUUUAAUUUGAAAAUUGUCGUGCAUUCCCUAUGAAAUCAUUUGUUUAGUAACAAAAAGCGUUCCAAACAAGAUCCGUCCCACUUUUAUUUUUUUUUUUUUUUUUCUUUUCCCAUUUGUUUCUUUUUUAAUUAUUAAUUGAUAAAUAGAAAAGGCUUUCGCAAAUUGAGUUAUCUACAAAUAGUGUGCGAAUG
rnacentral:rRNA from 1 species